rnacentral:lncRNA from 10 species
GCCAAUUAUUCUUUCAAAUAGCGUCUUCUCUGUGUUAUCAAAGCCUGAGUAAGAAAGCGGCAGAUCCUCUGGUUUGCCAGACAUACUUUUCUGGUUGCUCACAUCUCUAGUGUCACAACAGGAGCCAGUGUACCCUGGACGACAUUGUUACAUGUGCUUUCCCAAAUCCACGGACUUCUGGCUGAUCCGGGGUUGCAAUAUGCACUGCACCACCAUCCUCUCUCUUGGAAAUUCCCUUCGGCUGGGAAAGAAAUGGAUGAUCAAGGUCAGUGGUUUCCAACCAGGCUGAACAUCAGAAUCCACAGGAAUGAUGCUAAGCCCCAUUUCACCUCUGAGACUUUCAGGUUCAAGCGUCUGGAAUGGGGCCACAGAUCUGAAUUUUUAAAGAAGGGUUCUGGUUGACUCUGACAGUUACAUUAAAUGAGUAUAUUUUGGAACCACCAGGCUGAGUGGCCUUAAAAUUUUCUUCAAGAACUAAGGCUCCAGGGCAGGAGGGUACUAGGGAAACUGCCUGGCCACCUGACCCUUCUCUGAUCUCCUCACUCUCUCAGGUGACCCCUUCCUGGACCUAGCAUCCCUCAACUUUUCUGACUUCCCUGGACCAGGCUGGGAACUCACAUUCUCUUCUAGAGAAUAGAAUGCAAUAGAGUUGAUGGGAUGUCACUUUUGAUAUUAGUAUGUAAAAAGGCUGUGCACUCUCUCUUGCCUUCUCACUUGCUUUGAGGGAAGCCCACUGCCAUGUUGCAAGUUGCCCUGUGAAGAGGCCUCCAUGACAAGGAACUGUAGGGUCCCCUGGACAACAGCCAGCAAGGCAAUGAGACCCUUAGUCUCAUCAAUAGUCUACGAGGAACUGAAUCUUGCAAGAACCACAUGGAUGAGGUUGCAAGGUCCAAUUAGAUAAACUCAUCCUCGCUGGCAGAUAAUGGCACCAAUGUGAUCAUCCUCCUAGAGGUAUUUUCAUCUUGGUAUGGAGCCUCCAGAGCUAUCUUUGCUUGAAAGAAUGAAACUUCAGGAAUGAAAGUUUGCACAUAAAGCAAGCCCAUGAGAAAGACAUUUCGGGAAAACUAGAAUCCUGUUAAGUUAUGGGAUUUUUUUCAAGCCACAUGGUUGAUAAGUAGUCUGACCAGGAUCCUGGAGCAACACAAGGAAGACAAGGACCCUUGAAGACAAGGCAGCCUUGAAACCAAAUGAAGCCCUGGGCCAGUGAGCAUGGCAAGAGGAAGACUGUUAAUUGCGAGAAAGCUGGGUCUUGAAGAUGAUUCCAUAUCAACAUACAGGGAGUUCCACCACUGAAUGGUCUAUCGGUUGGGAAUGCCAUCAUUUAUUUUCACCAGUGGGGAAGAAUUGGUAUUAAUAUCAAAACCACAGUACUGUCAUACCCAGCUAUAAUUUGCAAUGUUUAUAUGCCUGUACGAAUGAAUAAUUAACAGUUAAAUGAAUCAAUAUAUAUCUAUCUAUGUGUAGGAAUAUCUAAUCUAUAAUAUAUGCUCGCGUAAGUGGUAAUUAAUCUCUUUUUUGAGACAGGGUCUUUCUCUGUCAUACAGGCUGGAGUGCAAUGACAUGAUUAUGGACCUUCAGGGAUUGAGCAGCUCGACAUCCCAAGGAUCAAGCAAUCCUCCGGCCUCAGCCUACCAAGUAGCUGGGACUACAGCCAUUUGACACCCCACCCAGUUAAUUUUUGUUUUUUGUUUUUUUGUAAAGACAAGGUUUAGCCAUGUUGCCCAGGCUGGUCUGGAACCCCUGGGUUCAAGCAAUCCUCCCACCUCAGCUUCCCAAAGUGCUGGGAUUAUAGGCAUAAGCCACUGCACCCAGCAUAAAUAAUCUCUUAUUUGUUCAUCCAUGGUGUUGUCUUUAGUUUUUAAAAAUGGAUCCUUUUGUUAUUCUUUUAUAGCCCCAGAUUAAGAAUUUGUCCAAGUUUUGUAUAUUUUUUCAGUUAUUUCAAUAUCAAAGCCCAGCACAUCUUUAAAAUCACUUCUAUGUAUAGAUAUUAACCUUUUUGACAUUUGUGUUUUGGUAUUCCAUAUUUACUCAGUUCUCCUUUCACACCCUCCCUUUAGAAGAGGAGUAUGACCAUGGCAGGAUGGAGGGGUAGUGGCAGUAGGGGCCAUAGUAUGUUUUCUAUAUUUAUCCAGCAUAUUUAAAACAUGGUAUUCUAGCUUCAAGGGAGAACAUUGAACUCCCAUUUGGACAUGUUAAGUUGAAGAUGUCUGUUAGACACCCAAGAGAAUAUGUCAAGCAGAUAUCAUCUGCCCUUGUUUUUCCUUUUCCAAACUGGCUCUCCUUAGUUCCAUCUCCAGAUGACAUGGUCCUCAAACCCUUUGUGAUCUUGGUUCUCUACUCCAGUUCUUCAAUGUUUUUCUUGAAUGUGGCACCCAGAAUUAAAUAGAGCACCCCAGAUAAUGGCUGCCCAGCAGGAUAGACAUGUGUUUGUUAUAUAAUUCUUAGAGACUAUAGCUGACGUCACUGGUGCCCAGCCCAUAUCUUCUUGAGCCCUAGCAUUUUCGUGCAUGGUGGCCUGAUUUCUAACUGUCAGCACCUAAAUAUCUUUGCCUGAGGACUUUCUCUGUCGGCCAGAGCCUGCUUUGUGCACAGUCAGAAGUGCCAAGGAGUCAACACUCCCCAAAGGAGUCUUCAGCCAGUAACGAAAUGAAAGGUUUUGGUGUGAGGGAGUAACCUCCCUGAUCUCCCUGGUUCCUCUAGCAUCACAAGGCAGAAGCAGCAGCAUCUCUUCCAUCUGCUGUAGUGAGGAAAUAAAAGGUUAACUUCAGGUUUGGAAAUAAAGUGGAACCUGUUUCUGCAUCUUCAAAAUCUAUUUCUCUUGGGCCACAUAACGGUAUUGGACACUUGGUUAUAUGCAAUUAAUAAUGAACACAACAGCCAAAUGUUGACUAUGAUUGGUGCAUAUAAUUCAUUCAUUCAUUCAUCUAUUUGCCCAUUCAACAAGCAUUCACACUUUCCUACUAUGUCAGACAUUGCACUAUGUCCUAGGGAUUUAGAGACAAAAUGGAAAUAGUCUCUGUUAUCAAGGAGCUGCCAGAAUGGUAAAGAGAGGAGGGUAUGUAAACAAAUACAAUAUUACUGGAGUAGUGGUAGGGUGUGUGCAGAAAACAAUGGGGACACAAUGUGGCAGAUCUACCUGAGAAAAGUCAGGAAAGUCUUUGUGGUGAAGGUGACUCUUACAUUAAUGUAGAAAGGCAUGAAGACCAUCUAGACAAAGGAAUUCAAUGGGAGAGUGGACAUUAAGAUUUGGAGAGCAGAAGAGAAAUUGAUCCUGGUAAUACCAGCCUGGGAGUCAUUAGCUUUUAGGUAGUUGUGUUAAGCUGGGUGAGUGGUUAAGAUCUCCCAGCUGGCACCACAGGUAGCAUAAGAGGACCAGGGUAGAAGAGAGCUGGUGUGAAUUCUACCCAAUGAAGUUGACCAGGGAAGGGCCUGUUGGAACUGUGGGCCAGUCCUGGAGGCUGAGACCCUCACAGGAAGCUACCCUUAAUAGUUUAAGAAAACAGACAGAUCUGAGUCCUAAUAUAAGCUGUGUGGCCUUGACAGAUUGCUUAAACUUUGUCUCAGUUUCUAUACCCACAGAAUGAAAGUAUUAAUAGUACACACUGCAGGGUUAUUAGAAGAAUUAAAUGAGAUAAUGUUUAUAAAGGAGGGUCUGGUAUACAGAAAGCAAUCAUUGCAUAGUACCUAUUGUUAUCAUUUUAUUAUUAAAAUGAAUGUGAAAAUUGGGGAACGAAUUUUAACCCUUUAACUACCAGAUUGUAACAUCCAGAAAUAUUUAUUGAGCACCGGUGAUGUUCCAGGCAUGGUUUUUGGUGCUAGCAGGAGAGAAAACAAUACCUGUGGCCUAAAGAGCUCAACCUGACCUGAAGAACUCAAGGGAAUCUUGAACUUGAGUGGGGCAGAAAAUGCAGUUUCAUUUUCACUACACUUGCAAAAAUGUAGCAUUUUUCUUCAAUUAUGAAUUUAGGCAACAAACCACAAUAGUAUUAGCAGUGCCUGUGGCUUUGUUAUUAAUAAAAAUCAGUCUUGUCAUAUCACAUUAUAGUUCUUUUAUAGGUUUAGAAAUAUUUAUUGGAAAUAGCAUUACCUUAAAAGUAGAAAUUGGGAGGCCAG